AGGGGAUACAAGUUCUUACUCUGGUCAUGAAUUUUAUUCGGAACUGUCAGCUCGGGUUUGGUUGGUUGAAAAGCAUCAUUCAGAAGGAACCAAUAAAGAGAGAGGGGUUGAACUACCUAGAGAAAACCAUUUUAAAUCACAAUUUCAGAAGAUUUUAAAAAUUCAACUCUACCUAAAGACAUCAUAAAAUGGCUCAUUAUUCCAUCAUCCAGGCUCCCCUGUUUCUCAGGCCUCCAGACUGAAGCUGAAUUAUACCACCAGCUCUCCUCAGUCUCCAGUUUGCAGACAACAGAUCAUGGGACUUCUCAGCCUCCAUAAUCACAGGAGUCAAUUCCUCAUAAUAAAUCUGUCUGCCCC
rnacentral:lncRNA from 10 species